GCUAAGCCCUAAACAUUGAUAGCUAUUAUACAAACCUUUCCGCCAGAGAACUACAAGUGAAAAACUUGAAACUCAAAGGACUUGACGGUGUCCCAUAUCGGCCUAGAGGAGCCUGUCCUGUAAUCGAUACCCCCCGUUCCACCCAACCUUAACUAGUAAAAUAUCAGCCUAUAUACCGCCGUCGACAGUCUACCCUAUGAAGGCCCAACAGUAGACAUAAUAGCCUCCCCCGCUAAUACGUCAGGUCAAGGUGUAGCAAAUGUUAAGGAAGAGAUUGGCUACAUUUUUUAAAAUAAAAAACACGAAAAGCACUAUGAAACCCUGCAUGAAGGUGAAUUUAGUAGUAAAAUAGAUUAGAGUAUCUAUUUUAACAACGCUCUGGGACGCGU
rnacentral:rRNA from 1 species